CCUCGGGCGGCUGCAGUGGGGAAUAUUGGACAAUGGGCGAAAGCCUGAUCCAGCCAUGCCGCGUGUGUGAAGAAGGCCUUCGGGUUGUAAAGCACUUUCAGUGGGGAAGAAAGCCUUGGGGCUAAUACCCUCGAGGAAGGACAUCACCCACAGAAGAAGCACCGGCUAACUCCGUGCCAGCAGCCGCGGUAAUACGGAGGGUGCGAGCGUUAAUCGGAAUUACUGGGCGUAAAGCGCGCGUAGGCGGUCUGAUAAGCCGGUUGUGAAAGCCCCGGGCUCAACCUGGGAACGGCAUCCGGAACUGUCAGGCUAGAGUGCAGGAGAGGAAGGUAGAAUUCCCGGUGUAGCGGUGAAAUGCGUAGAGAUCGGGAGGAAUACCAGUGGCGAAGGCGGCCUUCUGGACUGACACUGACGCUGAGGUGCGAAAGCGUGGGUAGCAAACAGGAUUAGAUCCCUAGUAGU
rnacentral:rRNA from 1 species